GCUAUCUUUUCCCGACCUAAAAAAACCCACUACAACCCCACAUCCCAAACAGGCCAGCCCACUCUCUUACAUGCAAAGCAAGCUAUAAUCAUUAGGAGAUAACCCUCACACUAAUUAUUUACAAUAUCUAUCCCUCUCAUGCUGCUUCACCAUUUCAUUUGUUUGAUCUGAUGCCCUUCCAAAACUCAUAUAGCUUCGAGGCUGGUCAUGGUAUCAGUAAGUACUAGAAACGGCAGUGAAAAAUAUAACCUUGUUGUCUGUACUCCUGGCGGCGUCGGCGCAGAACAGGUGCUCUGCUUUAGUGUGCUCUUGCUAUGUAGCAUCAAGGAGUUUGGACAACAAAGGUGAAGAAAGCAACAAUAACAAUACAAAGAAGCAAUCUCUUGCUGAAAAGGGAGAUGGGGUCAUGGAAGAGCUCCAUAAUCAUGAAUUACAACUUCAAAAUGGGGGCAACUACAGUAGGAGUAGUGGGUCUAAUGGGCCUCACAUUGAACAUCCUACUCUUAAGAGUAAUCUCAAGAAAACAACAAUAGUGGAUGGUAAUCAACUAAGGCUAGAAAAGAGGAAAGUUAGUUGGCCUGAUGCUCAUGGCAAAGAUAUUGCUCAUGUCCAUGAAUUUGAACCAAGUGUGUCAGAGGAUGGGGAACUCGGGGGAGUAAGGAACUCUUGUGUUUGUGCUAUUCAGUGAAUCCGGAUGACUAAAGGUGGAUCUCCUUGCAUACUUUUCUUCUGAAACAUAGUAUAAGAUUCAAAUAUUUAUUCUUUUGCUUAGUCAAAGUAAAGUCGAUUUGGAUGUAGGAAGUCCAAAAGAAAAAGAAAAUUCUUAUCGACUAGUACAAUGGAAAUGAAAAGUUAUUUUUUGUUCAUCAAAAUGCCUCCAAGCAUAUGAAGGCCC